UACAGAGGGGGCAAGCGUUGUUCGGAAUUACUGGGCGUAAAGGGCGCGUAGGCGCCUUCUAAGUCGAACGUGAAAUCCCCGGGCUCAACCCGGGAACUGCGUCCGAUACUGGAAGGCUUGAAUCCGGGAGAGGGAUGUGGAAUUCCAGGUGUAGCGGUGAAAUGCGUAGAUAUCUGGAGGAACACCGGUGGCGGAGGCGACAUCCUGGACCGGUAUUGACGCUGAGGCG
rnacentral:rRNA from 1 species